rnacentral:rRNA from 1 species
GAUGAACGCUGGCGGCGUGCUUAACACAUGCAAGUCGAACGUGAGAGGUAGCAAUAUCUUGAAAGUGGCGCACGGGUGAGUAACACGUAGGUAACCUGCCUCGGAGUGGGGGAUAACAGUUAGAAAUGACUGCUAAUACCGCAUGAAUCCAUUAAGAUGGGAAUGUUGAUGGAGAAAACUCUGGUGCUUCGAGAGGGGCCUGCGGUCGAUUAGCUAGUUGGCGGGUAACGGCCCACCAAGGCGACGAUCGAUAGCUGGUCUGAGAGGACGAUCAGCCACACGGGAACUGAGACACGGUCCCGACUCCUACGGGGGGCAGCAGUGAGGAAUAUUGGGCAAUGGGCGGAAGCCUGACCCAGCAACGCCGCGUGGAGGAAUGAAGGCCUUCGGGUUGUAAACUCCUUUUGCAGGGGAAGAGGAAGGACGGUACCCUGCGAAUAAGUACACGGCUAACUACGUGCCAG